UGCUGAUGAUGAUGAUGAUGAUGGUGAUGAUGCUGACGAUGUUGAUGGUGGUGGUGGUUGUCAUCAUCAUCAUCAUCAUCAUCAUCAUCACUGCGG
rnacentral:pre_miRNA from 1 species